UGGUUGUUGACUCAGCCGACAAAAGAUGUAAUAACAAAAGAUGGAUUGCUACUACCAUUCAGGAAGUACUUUGUUUCAAAUGCAUCCGUUCAUCUGAGCCAACAAACAUCUUCAACUACAGACUAUCCAUACUAUUGGACAAUCACAGCUACAACAACAAUUGAAGAAGUUAAUUAAUGAAGGAGGAGAUGAAACAAUACCACCAUACCUACCUUUACACCACUUUUCCAACAUUCAGACUUAUGCAGACUCAAACAAAUAUAUGAACAUAUUUGGAAUUGUUGUUUUUGCACGUCCAAUGAGGGAGAUAAGGAUUCAAGAACAGAGAAUUCCUGCAAGAGAUUAUGUAAUCAUCAAUGAAGAGGAAAAACCAGUGAUCUUAACACUUUACAAUGACUUCCAGACAAAUGAAGGUAUACAAAUUGCAGCAAAGAGAAGAGCCGUCAGUCAUCUUGGCCAUGAGACUUAGAGCAACUACCACAAACUAUCUUUCACUGGCUACGCAAGUUUCAUCUGUCAUAAUGGUUCAACCUGCUCUAAGAGAAACAAUGGAGCUUAAUCACUGGUAAACACGCC